CAGUAGCCACGGGAAUACGUAGGUGGCAAGCGUUGUCCGGAAUUAUUGGGCGUAAAGCGCGCGCAGGUGGUUUAAUAAGUCUGAUGUGAAAGCCCACGGCUCAACCGUGGAGGGUCAUUGGAAACUGUUAAACUUGAGUGCAGGAGAGAAGAGUGGAAUUCCUAGUGUAGCGGUGAAAUGCGUAGAGAUUAGGAGGAACACCAGUGGCGAAGGCGGCUUUUUGGCCUGUAACUGACACUGAGGCGCGAAAGCGUGGGGAGCAAACAGGAUUAGAUACCCGCGUAGUCCCUGUCUCUUAUAC
rnacentral:rRNA from 1 species